rnacentral:miRNA from 1 species
CUGUUUAGCCAUCUCUCUGGCCCCUAAAUAUUUUUUUAAAUAUUUUUAUGAGGCUGGAGAGAUGGCUUAGCAGU